AUUGAACGCUGGCGGCAUGCUUUACACAUGCAAGUCGAGCGGUAACAGGCCUUCGGGUGCUGACGAGUGGCGAACGGGUGAGUAAUGCAUCGGAACGUACCCAGAGGUGGGGGAUAACGCAGCGAAAGCUGUGCUAAUACCGCAUGUGAUCUGAGGAUGAAAGCGGGGGACCGAGCAGCAAUGUUUGGCCUCGCGCCUUUGGAGCGGCCGAUGUCGGGUUAGCUGGUUGGUGGGGUAAAGGCCUACCAAGGCGACGAUCCGUAGCUGGUCUGAGAGGACGACCAGCCACACUGGGAGUGAGACACGGCCGAGAAUCCUACGGGAGGCAGCAGUGGUGAAGUUUGGAGCAUGGGCGCAAGCCUGAUCCAGCAAUGCCGCGUGCGGGAAGAAGGCCUUCGGGGUGUAAUCAGCUUCUGGCAGGAACGAAACGGUGUCGGCUAAUACCGGGCGCUAAUGACGGUACCUGCAGAAUAAGCACCGGCUAACUACGUG
rnacentral:rRNA from 1 species